rnacentral:rRNA from 1 species
GUAGGUGGCAAGCGUUGUCCGGAAUUAUUGGGCGUAAAGCGCGCGCAGGCGGUCCUUUAAGUCUGAUGUGAAAGCCCACGGCUCAACCGUGGAGGGUCAUUGGAAACUGGGGGACUUGAGUACAGAAGAGGAAAGCGGAAUUCCACGUGUAGCGGUGAAAUGCGUAGAGAUGUGGAGGAACACCAGUGGCGAAGGCGGCUUUCUGGUCUGUAACUGACGCUGAGGCGCGAAAGCGUGGGGAGCAAACAGGGAUCAGAUACCCUGGUAGUCCACGCCGUAAACGAUGAGUGCUAAGUGUUAGGGGGUUUCCGCCCCCCUUAGUGCUGCAGCUAACGCAUUAAGCACUCCGCCUGGGAUACGGCCGCAAGGCUG